UACGGGGGGAGCAAGCGUUGUUCGGAUUUACUGGGCGUAAAGGGCGCGUAGGCGGCGCAACAAGUCACUUGUGAAAUCUCCGGGCUUAACCCGGAGCGGCCAAGUGAUACUGCCGUGCUAGAGUGCGGAAGGGGCUACUGGAAUUCUCGGUGUAGCGGUGAAAUGCGUAGAUAUCGAGAGGAACACCUGCGGCGAAGGCGGGUAGCUGGGCCGACACUGACGCUGAUGCGCGAAAGCCAGGGGAGCGAACGGG
rnacentral:rRNA from 1 species